AGUUAGUGGCAAACGGGUUAGUAACACGUAGGAAUCUACCUCAGAGUCUGGCAUAACUCGGAGAAAUCCGGGCUAACACCAGAUGGUCCCGCAAGGGUAAAGAUUUAUUGCUCUGAGAGGUGCCUGCGUCCUAUCAGCUUGUUGGUAAGGUAAUGGCUUACCAAGGCUAUGACGGGUAGGGGGCGUGAGAGCGUGACCCCCAACAAUGGAACUUAGAUACGGUCCAUACUCC
rnacentral:rRNA from 1 species